GUGGGCGUAGCUCAGACGGCAGAGCACCAGGUUGUGGCCCUGGUGGUCGCGGGUUCAAGUCCCGUCGCUCACCCCA
rnacentral:tRNA from 1 species